rfam:Ochotona princeps cont2.70531, whole genome shotgun sequence.
UGGCAAAAUGGAUCUAGCUUUCCCUGAUUUGUCUGCUUUGUAGGUACACGGGGCUGCCAGUCUGACAGUUUGCGUUGGCAAUAAAUCACCAUCAGAUAUUUUAUUUCAAAAUUGGCACUGACUUGGUGAAGGUAAGGGAUUGUCAAUUCAUUUUUAUUUUGAGGCCAGGCGAUGAUAACACACAAAAGUCACCUGGAAAC